rnacentral:rRNA from 1 species
CAGCCGCCGCGGGAAUACGAAGGGUGCAAGCGUUACUCGGAAUUACUGGGCGUAAAGCGUGCGUAGGUGGUGGUUUAAGUCCGUUGUGGAAGCCCUGGGCUCAACCUGGGAAUUGCAGUGGAUACUGGGUCACUAGAGUGUGGUAGAGGAUAGUGGAAUUUCCGGUGUAGCAGUGAAAUGCGUAGAGAUCGGAAGGAACAUCUGUGGCGAAGGCGACUAUCUGGGCCAACACUGACACUGAGGCACGAAAGCGUGGGGAGCAAACAGGAUUAGAUAUCCCCGUAGUCCCUGUCUCUUAUAC